UUGUAACGUUGUACGUUAUAUUUUGAAUAUUUAAAAAUACUAGACUUGCUAUAUCUCGGCCGCGCGCCGCGAGCCGUGAGCCGUUGACGGGUGACGGAAACCGGUUCGGCGAACUAUCCCUCCUAUGAGGCGACGCGAGCAGAGCCGGCGGUCAAUCGCGAGACGGUCACUAGCACGACGCUGCGAGCCGAUACAGUCUACUACUACUACUGGUCUAUGUACAUUUUUAACUCGCGAUUUUAUUGCAAAUAAUUUAACCGUUAAUAAACUAUUGUGCUUUUAAAAUAACUUUUAAAGUCAGUGUAUACCCCAGAUCGGGGUUCAAGUACCUGACUACCUCCAGUGCACCUACCGUAGUGCACCUACCCUAAGUGCACCUACCUACGCGCUUGUCUACCUACGUGCCUGUGUCUACCUACGUGCCUGUGUCUACCUACGUGCCUGUGCCUAUCUACGUGCCGCGCCUAUCUACGUGUCCUGCAUCUACCUGCGCGUCCGGCAUCUACUAGCGCGCUGCACACGUACCCCGCCUGACCGCUGCCGAGCUGCCUGACUAUACAGGGUAGUAGUGUUCUAUAGCGGGCCAGAACUUAACGCGAGCUCGAUUAUUCUAAACCCACUCCCGGCUCUGCCGAUCUUUUGGUACAAUAUAGACUUAUACCAUUUAC